rnacentral:rRNA from 1 species
GAUGAACGCUGGCGGCGUGCCUAAUACAUGCAAGUCGAGCGAACAGACGAGGAGCUUGCUCCUUUGACGUUAGCGGCGGACGGGUGAGUAACACGUAGGUAACCCACCUAUAAGACUGGGAUAACUUCGGGAAACCGGAGCUAAUACCGGAUAAUAUUUCGAACCGCAUGGUUCGAUAGUGAAAGAUGGCUUUGCUAUCACUUAUAGAUGGACCUGCGCCGUAUUAGCUAGUUGGUAAGGUAACGGCUUACCAAGGCAACGAUACGUAGCCGACCUGAGAGGGUGAUCGGCCACACUGGAACUGAGACACGGUCCAGACUCCUACGGGAGGCAGCAGUAGGGAAUCUUCCGCAAUGGGCGAAAGCCUGACGGAGCAACGCCGCGUGAGUGAUGAAGGUCUUCGGAUCGUAAAACUCUGUUAUUAGGGAAGAACAAACGUGUAAGUAACUGUGCACGUCUUGACGGUACCUAAUCAGAAAGCCACGGCUAACUACGUG